GGUUUUUAGGUGCGUCUUAUAGUGCGGAAAAUACGGUAAUUUAUGAAUGGGAGGAGAAGCACGUCAAGCCAUAAAAAACUUUAUAAAGAUGCUCAGAGCUCAGGAUAAAAGUACGAAAAGGCCACGAAAAACUAAAAAGCUAGCUUUUAGUUGCUAGCUUCACAGCCGAAUGAAGCUAGCAACAACGUGGCUGGCCCAGGAGUUCAGAACACCGGAACAACCAUGGACUCAGAUGGAAUAUUUAAGGGUACCGAUGAUUUGAAGAUGACCUUAAAGAGGGACAAUGCAAAACCAAAACAAGCAUUUGGGACAUGAGAUUCACGGUAAGCUGGAUAGUAUUGUCACUGAUGUACAGGGCCUAGCUGAGCGGAUUGACAAGGCAGACGCCAGCGUGCAUCAAGGGGACAACUGGGCGAAGGUGGCAACCGAGGCGCUGUGCUCCUGCAUCGAGCAGCAGAGGAUGCUCCAGUUCAAGCGCUAAUUUAGAGUCCCACUUCAGAAGAAACCUGUAUCUUUGGGGUCCCAGAAGGACAGGAGGUUAACUCUGUCAUACAAUUUAUUGAGGCGCUUUUGAGAAGCCAGCUGCAACCUAUGGCACAAAAAAAUUUUCAUAGAGCUAUUGGGAAAAAAAAUGGAUAACGCUAUUUGAUAUAAACAUUUGUCAAAAUGUUUAUAUCCAAAAGCUGAUCGUGAGAACGUGAGAUCCAAUAGUAGGUUUCCAGCACUCUUCAUCUCACCCUCAUUGUUGUGCCCUCGCUCUUGUUCCCUGGAUGUGUCCCCUGGCUUUGCCCUGGUCGGAUUGUUGCUAGUUGUCUAUCUGGAUCUCGACCCACGCCUGUAUUACAGAUUCCCCACCUACGGCAUGGAUAAAUAAUCUGUUCACUGCCUCUUCAUGUAUGACCGUAGCCCGUCUGACCCAGGAUUUGGAUAUGGAAUUGUACUUUUGUUGAACAUGGAGAGGACCAAAGCAGAUAGCAGAAGCGCCACCCUGCAUCAACGCUCCUCCUCCCCGGGUUCUCACCCCUGAGCCCUCCAUCAGUGGACCAUCUGCUCCCUUCUUCCCCUCGGCCGAUCUGUACAGUAUCUGAUAGGCAGGCCAGGUUAGUGUAUAUUCCACACACUAAGAUUCCUUUAGUGUUUCUCAGAUCAUCGAGCUCUCUUCUCCGCCCCCCGCAGUGCUGCAGCUGCUUCUUAGUGUGGUCUAUUAUAUGUAGUGUUUGUAUUGUGGUGUCAUGAAUUUAAUGAACCUUUAAUUGGUCUUCAUGAAUCUGUCAAGUAAUGCUCCAUUCCCCUUGAGACUGUUGAUGUAAAAAGUUUAGAAUCAACAUUCAGAAUUGAGAUUAUGUAAUAUGAUUCAAUGUAUUCAAUGUUUUUCCCUUCUUUAGGGAGGACACAUAUUACAGCCUCUCUCCAAGAUGGUGGCUUCUCUGCUCUACUCCAGAGUCCAGGGGAAAGCUCCUCCCUGAACAUGUUGCACCACUCUUUUGGAAACCCAUUACUAUGUGGGCACUUAUUAGUUUUCAAAUAGCAACGUUGGAGACAAUGUGGCUGGCCAUCAGAACAACAAUUAUUCUCUUAUUUUGGUCCUGUCCAAAGUAGCACCUUUGGACAGGACCUUUCUACUGGGAUAUGUCAUCCCCACGAACCCCAGCAUUCUCCUUUUGAGGCUAAUAUCUGGAAAGGUGCAUUAAAAAGAAUACCUUUAUCUAUUUAAAAUUCUAUCAGUUGCAAGCAAAAAAGCGGUAACCUGGUCUUGGUUAAAGAAACUCCCACCCCAUUGGCAAUUCAUGGAAGAGAUUCCUUCUAUGGGAAUGUGGCAUAUCUUCUAUGCACCAAAGGACAGUCUUUCAACAAACAUUGGCCUAAAUGGUUUACAUAUAAGAGCAACGGAAGCAUAAGACCUAACAUUAUGUAAUAUUGUUUUUCUCCCACUAAACUACAAAUCAGUGAUCCAAGUUCUGUGUGCUUUGUAUGUUUUACUGUAAUAAUGAAAAAGGUUAAAUAAAGAGUCUUUAAAAAAAA